rnacentral:rRNA from 1 species
GAUGAACGCUGGCGGCGUGCCUAAUACAUGCAAGUCGAGCGAACGGACGAGAAGCUUGCUUCUCUGAUGUUAGCGGCGGGCGGGUGAGUAACACGUGGAUAACCUACCUAUAAGACUGGGAUAACUUCGGGAAACCGGAGCUAAUACCGGAUAAUAUUUUGAACCGCAUGGUUCAAAAGUGAAAGACGGUCUUGCUGUCACUUAUAGAUGGAUCCGCGUUGCAUUAGCUAGUUGGUAAGGUAACGGCUUACCAAGGCAACGAUGCAUAGCCGACCUGAGAGGGUGAUCGGCCACACUGGAACUGAGACACGGUCCAGACUCCUACGGGAGGCAGCAGUAGGGAAUCUUCCGCAAUGGGCGAAAGCCUGACGGAGCAACGCCGCGUGAGUGAUGAAGGUCUUCGGAUCGUAAAACUCUGUUAUUAGGGAAGAACAUAUGUGUAAGUAACUGUGCACAUCUUGACGGUACCUAAUCAGAAAGCCACGGCUAACUACGUG